GGCGACGACGGGUAGCCGGCCUGAGAGGGCGACCGGCCACACUGGGACUGAGACACGGCCCAGACUCCUACGGGAGGCAGCAGUGGGGAAUAUUGCACAAUGGGCGGAAGCCUGAUGCAGCGACGCCGCGUGAGGGAUGACGGCCUUCGGGUUGUAAACCUCUUUCAGCAGGGACGAAGCGAGAGUGACGGUACCUGCAGAAGAAGCACCGGCCAACUACGUGCCAGCAGCCGCGGUAAGACGUAGGGUGCGAGCGUUGUCCGGAUUUAUUGGGCGUAAAGAGCUCGUAGGCGGCUUGUCGCGUCGACCGUGAAAACUUGGGGCUCAACCCCAAGCCUGCGGUCGAUACGGGCAGGCUAGAGUUCGGUAGGGGAGACUGGAAUUCCUGGUGUAGCGGUGAAAUGCGCAGAUAUCAGGAGGAACACCGGUGGCGAAGGCGGGUCUCUGGGCCGAUACUGACGCUGAGGAGCGAAAGCGUGGGGAGCGAACAGGAUUAGAUACCCUGGUAGUCCACGCUGUAAACGUUGGGCGCUAGGUGUGGGGGGCCUCUCCGGUUCCCUGUGCCGCAGCUAACGCAUUAAGCGCCCCGCC
rnacentral:rRNA from 1 species